rnacentral:rRNA from 1 species
AGUGAACGCUGGCGGUAGGCCUAACACAUGCAAGUCGAACGGCAGCACAGAGGAGCUUGCUCCUUGGGUGGCGAGUGGCGGACGGGUGAGGAAUACAUCGGAAUCUACUCUGUCGUGGGGGAUAACGUAGGGAAACUUACGCUAAUACCGCAUACGACCUACGGGUGAAAGCAGGGGAUCUUCGGACCUUGCGCGAUUGAAUGAGCCGAUGUCGGAUUAGCUAGUUGGCGGGGUAAAGGCCCACCAAGGCGACGAUCCGUAGCUGGUCUGAGAGGAUGAUCAGCCACACUGGAACUGAGACACGGUCCAGACUCCGACGGGAGGCAGCAGUGGGGAAUAUUGGACAAUGGGCGCAAGCCUGAUCCAGCCAUACCGCGUGGGUGGAGAAGGCCUUCGGGUUGUAAAGCCCUUUUGUUGGGAAAGAAAUCCAUCUGGUUAAUACCCGGGUGGGAUGACGGUACCCAAAGAAUAAGCACCGGCUAACUUCGUGCCAGCAGCCGCGGUAA